UACGUAGGGGGCUAGCGUUGUCCGGAAUCAUUGGGCGUAAAGCGCGCGUAGGCGGCCCGGUAAGUCCGCUGUAAAAGUCAAAGGCUCAACCUUUGAAUGUCAGUGGAUACUGCCGGGCUAGAGUCCGGAAGAGGCGAGUGGAACUCCUGGUGUAGCGGUGGAAUGCGCAGAUAUCAGGAAGAACACCGACGGCGAAGGCAGCUCGCUGGGACGGUACUGACGCUGAGACGCGAAAGCGUGGGGAGCAACAGG
rnacentral:rRNA from 1 species